rnacentral:lncRNA from 1 species
ACAGCUGUGGGUUUCUUGUCAGCUUGGGACUACAAGCAGAACAAGCUCAAGUCUCUCUACAGAAGAGCCAGAAGUGGGGAAAGCAAAUGGAGGACUGCUUUGCACAAGGGACUACUUUUCCAGUCACUUGACCCAUGCCCAGCUGAAGGAUUGAAGGUAUCAUGGACCAAAACAGUAAAAGAAAGAAGGAUCUUCACAAUGGUACCCAUUAUAGAGCAAUUUGUGCUUCCUCAGAGAUCAGUCUGGGGUACUGCAGCGGCCCAUGGCCAGGAACACACUUUCAUUUGUCUGAAGUCUUUGUUUGACUAAGUGGAAGUAGCUCAUCAGACUUUUAUUGCUCCUUUACUGCCACUUUUGAACUGUGGCUGAGGUGAGUUCACAGCAACAGCCUCCUCCAAUGGGAAGGUUCUGGAGAGACAACAUGGAGAAUAAGCAAAUACCAGUUUAAACCUUGCCAGGCAAUAACUAGUGACCAGAGGGGCUGAAAGAAGGCUUUUGGAACCACAUUGUGAGCAAAAGAAUGACUUUGCAAUGAAAAAAGAGAGAAUAUUCCCAUACUUGCACAUUUCUGGAAGAAUUUCCUUCAGAUGCAGAAGAAAAAUAAUUCCACUCAUCCUGAACUUCCUAAAGAAACUUCUGCUUCUUAGGUUCCUGUGAACUUUCAUCACAAGGAGUCACAGCAAACUCAGCAUAAAAAGAUUUAAAUAUUCCCCCUGUCAUGGCUGAGACCCCAUAUCCAAGGGGAAAAAUACACCUCUUGGCCAUUUCUCUUAGACUCCUAAGGCCUUGCUUCUCCUCUCUAGACCUCUGAGUGUGUCUUUAGAGUGAAUACCUGUUAAUGGAUAUAGAGCAUUAGCAUAACUUUUAAUAAGGCAUCAGAUCUUUGCUGUGCUAGAAAACCUUCCUUGGAGACACAAGUCUGGGACAACAUAUCUCUGGAUUUUUCAAGUGAAUCCUCUGGGGAGCAAAAGGCAAUACCUUUUUGUUUUAUUCUUUAUGAAGAAAGACCUUGGAAGAUUGAAUUUAUCAUUUUAGGACUAGUUCUGGCUUGUGAACACCUCUUACCAUUUUUUUCCCCUGAAUCCAUAUGAGCUAAGCCUAAUCCCAUUUAAUUCUAAGUCUAGAAUUUUUAUUUUAUAGUUUUUAUUGAGAACAUUACAGUGGAUAUGAUGUAUCUGACUGAAUUAAUAAUUUUCAGUUUUACAGAAGUCUGUUUUGAAAGACCAGGGAAGAACAUGUGCAAACUGGUAGUUGCUUAAUUUUAAGUUAACUUGUUGCAAUCACCAGAAGAAACUUAUGUUGCCAGGGUCUCAUCCAUGCUGGUUCAGCAUGCAUUUGACAGUAUGAAAGAACCAGGAUUGUGACCUGAAUCAUUAUUGUGACAAAAGCAUCAUAAUUUUCAUUAAUUGAAUUGAAUUAUCAAUUUCCUCAUUGAUAUUCAGGACAUUUUAGUAGCUUGGCCAUUUCUUCCCUGCUCAUACCUCAAUAUAAAAUUGAUGAAACCACAGGCUGAACUUUAAACACUGCAAAUAAAAGUCUGAGGAUAAAAUUGGCAGGCAGGGAACAAAAGAAUAUGACAGGUAAGGGUCUAAAAAGAAAAGUCUCUGAUGCUUUGAUGUGAUCCAUCCAUAUGCUCAAACACCUCUGGGGUUUUGUGAGAGGUUGGUUGAUUGGCUUCUUUUUUGUUUAAAGAUUCAGAAAAUAAUAUUCCUUCAUGCAGUUUUUUUCAUGAGCAGCUCCUAAUUUGAUAUUUAAUUUUCAAAUAAUGCUGGGCAGAUUUCCUAAACUCACAGGUUACAUUGUAUCUUCUGGUAGGAGGGGAGUAACUCACACAGUUUUUAUCACUAAAUGGGAUUACUCCCUGAAGUUAUUUUUCAAAAAAUAUUGCUGCUCCAAACUUGUUCUUUGGACUAUUUCCCAAAACAUUAGCAAUGUAUAUCCAGAAAUGUAAAUGAAACACUUUUUGGAAAGGUGUUUUCAGAAAAGAUUUACAAUAGUCCCUCUCUGCUACUUGUGGUGAUCUAAUGUUUCACCUUGACAGUGUUGUUUUGGGAAGAAAAUAAAACCAAGGCUCUCCUUAAGGUGUAGAUUUCCCUUGCAGAUUAACCUAGUGCUUACUCAUGGGCACAGGAUUCAGUUCUGGUACUUGUCAGAUUAUUUAAGACAAAACUCACAGUAAAUGACCCAGAAUUUUUUCUCUGUGGUGUGACUAUCCUGAACUGAGGAUCACUCUGGACACAGCAUUGUUGAGACUCUGAAGUGUCCCCUGCACAACUAUCCCAAAAUAUCAGCCCUCCAUAAGCAUUUCAGGAUAAUGAGUCACAUGAAGGCAUAAUCUGUUUUGAUAUAAGAAAUUAAAACCUAUCCUUUAUAACAAGAAAACAGCCUCAAGCUCUGUGAGCUACAAGAAGAUUCUUGAUGUAGGUUAAGGCUAUUCUUUUGGGCAGAAAUCUCAAAAUAUUGAAGUUAUGUCUGUAAAAAAUACAAAAUAUUAAAAAGUAAAGAUUCAUAUAUCUGAAGGAUUGAUAUUUGUAGGGUUGGAUGGGUUAUACUGAAGGGAUUGAAGAGAAGCAUUGGGCUUAUCUGCUUGCUUUUAUGAUUUUGCAUAAAAAACAGUAAAGGAAAAAGAUAAUGGGAAACUCUGCUAACUGUGCAUUGACAAAAUGUUUGCAGUUAGUAUUGUGCCUCCCAUUCCUUGAUUCUGCAAAAUCUUUCUUCCAAAUUUGUUUAUACCUUAAAAUAAGAAGUAAUAGUCAAUUCAAUUAUCUGACAAAUAGCACAGAUUCCUAUUGUUAUUAAAGUUACCCAGCUGGAAUAACAAUGCCCCACUGCUUGCCAAAUCAACACCAUCACUGCUAAAAGAGAUAAAUUGUAACUGAAUACUCUCACAUGCACAAUGAAACUGUCCUGAAAUGCUCCCUGCUCACAGCAAGUUGGGUAAAAGUUGCUUCAGUCUCAGAAGUCAGUGUUAAAUUUUCUGCUUCCGUGGUUGUUUUUUCACUCCUUAUUUCUUCCCCUUGGAGGUUUGUCUAAUGCAUUUCUCUCUUUGGGUACAUCAUACACAUUUACAAAAUUUCUUAAUAAGAAAUUGCUUUAAUGCUAUAAAGUGAUUUGACUUGACAUUAGGGCAACCAGUCCUCAAACACUAACCCAUGGCAUUUUGAUUUAUGCAUCCCAUAGGCUGUAGUCAACCCUUUGCACAUGGUAGCACUGGAAUGCUGCCCCUUUUUAGAAGAAAAAGCUUCACCCAUGAAAAGUAACUAGGUCUAUUGCAGCUCAGAGGUAGAAACGGGGAGGACAAAUCUUACUGGAAAGGUACCUACAGAAAAGGUCUCCACUUUUUCUUUCCCUUGAAAAUGCUUUUGAAAGCCCAUAAAAUUGUGUGGUGCAUGCCAAAUGACCUGUGAAAUAACCAUCCACAGCUGCAGCUGUAAAAAAAAUUACGUACCACUGCUGGCACUCAUAUUGAUCUGAUAAAACCUUUUUAAUGUGAAAUCAUCAGGGCUUUGAAAAGAUGAAUCCAUGCAUCAGGAAAGAGCACAACACAGAUUUUUGGAGGAACAAAGGACCACUGCCACCAGCAGCAGCAGCUAUUGAAAAUAAGGAAUAUAGAAUAGAUUUCUGGGACUGUAUCUGAAAUUGAAGAUGAUCUGCUUUGGAGAUUAGUCUGGCACACCAACAGAAAGUCACAUGCGCAAUACAGAAACUCUCUUGCUGGAAGAAAGUGUGCAUAGCAAAUCUGAUCCAACUUAUUCUGUGGAGGGGACCGAAUUAUCAUUUAAAUUGUGAGGUAGUAGAUCCUAAUGUGUGCUUAGGACUCAUUUAUAUAUCUUUUUAUAGCAGAAACUCAAGAUGUAAAUUGAAGGUUUACAGCAAAGCUGAAUUGUGGAGGCUGUUUACUUACUGAACUGUAUUGUACCUCUUUUUGCUUGCUCAUUGUGCCAGAACUGUGAGAGGGUGACAGUAUCCCUUGAGAGGAGAGAUAACAUUUUUGAUGUUUUUUUCUCCUUUUUUCUUUAUCUGUGUUUUUCCAUUGUCUUUUUGAUCUCCUUUGUGCAACAUUCUCAAUCAGUAGUAACAGGUACCAGGCUCCAUGGCUGUUACUUUGAUGAAACCAAUGCCAUCAUCUGACACCAAUCAGCUACGUCAAUGAUAAAGCCUUGCUGCUGGUUCUUACAGAGCAGAGUGAUGAGCCAAGGCCGGGGAUGGGAGCCUAUACCUUGGGACUGCUGACUUCAGCCAGGUCUCCCAGCACUACCAGACUCCCUGUUUGGAAGCAGCAAGCCUACAAUCCCUGCAUCCCGAGCAGACCACCAGGUUCACUGGCAGGAAGCCAGGCAGCUUUCCAGUGGAAAACUACGUGUGGCUGGAUGUUGGUUAAUUGAAAUAUUUUAUGUUUUAACAUGAAAUUUGCUGGCUCUCACAAAUCAGUGUUUUCCAGUGCAAUGAUGUGCCGUUAGAAAUCUCAUGAUCAGCUCUAAUUGCAACUUUCAUGGCCAAAAUCUUUGUUGACCAGAGUCUCAUAACUUUCUGGCAAUCACUAAAUAUGUUUUCAUAAACACAAACAAAAAAGCAUAUUCUGUUUUGUGCUCAACAACUGUGAAAUUUGCAAGAUUGUUUCUGGGCAGGGGUAUUAUUAAGAAAAUUCCUGCCUUCAGGGCAGCAACGCUGGGGACACACAUGUCCCUGUUUCAACCUUAUCACUGCUGCAUCAGCUUAAAACCACUUGAGAAGCAUCGUGUUCCUACUUCUGAGGAGAAGACAAUGGCCUCAUUGCCCAAUGAGGCAUGCUGUCCAAGUCUAAUUAGAAACAGGAACUCACUCACUAGAGCACUAUUUAUUCUUAUUCUUACGGCUCAAGAUUUCGAAAAUCUUUUUCAUUGUUUUUAUUAUUAUAAUAGAGAAGGCUGUUUAUUGAUUUUUCUACUACAUGAGUGUUUGCGUACACUGACUUCCCGCUUCUAAUGAAACAGAGCCUCCUAAAACAAUAAUAAAAAAUAAUAAUA